rnacentral:lncRNA from 1 species
UUUUGUUUUGAAUGUAGUUUGGUAAGUGACUUAGUUGGUUGAAAAUGGUUAAGUUUAGGAACUUUGAAUGGGAUUUUGUGUUUUGAGUGUGGUUAUGGUAGAUGAUUUUGUUGGUUGAAAAUGGUUAAGUCUAGGGACUUUAAAAGUUUUUUUUUUUUGGAAUGUGGUUUUGUUUUGAGACUUAGUUAGUUGAAAAUGGUUAAGUUUAGGGACUUUGAAGGGGAUUUUUUUUGUUUUGAAUGUAGUUUGGUUAGUGACUUAGUUGGUUGAAAAUGGUUAAGUUUAGGGAUUUUGAAGGGAAUUUUGUGUUCUGAAUGUGGUUAUGGUAGGUGACUUAAUUGGUUGAAAAUGGUUAAGUGUAGGAACUUUGAAGGGGAUUUUGUGUUUUGAAUGUGGUUAUAGUAGGUGGCUUCGUUGGUUGAAAAUGGUUAAGUCUAGGGACUGUAAAAGGUUUUUUUUUGGAAUGUGGUUUUGUUAUGUGACUUAGUUGGUUGAAAAUGGUUAAGUUUACGGACUUUGAAGGGGAUUUUUUUGUUUUGAAUGUAGUUUGGUUAGUGACUUAGGUGGUUGAAAAUAGUUAAGUUUAGGGACUUUGAAGGGGAUUUUGUGUUCUGAACGUGGUUAUGGUAGGUGACUUAAUUGGUUGAAAAUGGUUAAGUUUAGGGACUUUAAAAGGAUUCUUUUUUUUUUUGAAUGUAGUUUGGUAAGUGACUUAGUUGGUUGAAAAUGGUUAAGUUUAGAGACUUUAAAAGGGAUUUUGUGUUUGAAUGUGGUUAUGGUAGGUGGCUUAAUUGGUUGAAAAAUUCUUUGAUCUAAUUCGUUGAAUCUUAUUGAUUGCGUAGAUGGAACCUGAUUAUAGCUGGAUAUUUCACCGGAACAAUGAAAAUAGAAUGGGUAUUAGGCAGGAAUUUGUUGAAGGUAUCAAAAGAUUUGUUGAGGAGCAUAACAACAUUGAAGUGAAGCACAAUAAGUCGUAUCCUAUUUACGAUCCAUUUGUUCAAGCACAAAAUGCUAAAAUAGUGUAUUAUGCUCCUUAUCCGUUGCGCAAUGACAAGUUUGAUUGGUGGGUGUCGCGCCCCAUUUCGGACUGGCCGAAAUAGUCCGCAAUGUAUGGUGGUCAUAGCAACGCUUACUGGUUUUGAAAAAAAAUUGUUUGUUUUAUUUUUGAGUCGCCACCUAACUUUUAAGGAAAAACUAGGAAAACCAUUUUUAUGAUGUGGAAACUCUAUUUUUUAUCUGCGAAAACCAGUGAGAUUCUAAGUAAGGGUUUUGGUUACUCGAGGGGAAGGUAUUAAGCACCCUCAGAGACUAUCCAAAGAUAGUCUUUAAACUUAGUUUUAGAAAAAUAUUUGGGAAUUAUUUAUUUUAUUAGUUGCUAAAAUGGUAAUUAAAAAAAGACUUGAUAAUUUUUGUGGAAAAGAAACUGAAGGUAUAUAAAAUAUACCGCUAUAAUAUACCAUGAUAUAUAACGUAAUUGUUGUAAAAUAUAUAUGUUUGUCAAAAAUAUGGGAAAGGAAAAAUUAUAUUUUGUAUGCGUAUUAUAACGUUUUAAUUCUAUAAGAAAAUAUGUUCGAAAGUAUAUGACGUUAAAGUAGAGGAAAGUAUACCUUUGUCUGUAAAAUAAACAUUAGUAUAUGUAUAUUCAGAAGUGUAUGAAAAGAAUGCAAAAAUUUAUUCAAUUGGUGAUUUUCAAGGGGUUUGAACUAGAUAGAAAAUAAAGUAAUAGUAAAGUGUAUAUAUAUGUGAUGAAGUUGAAAUGAUGCAUGAAUGACAAUAGCGAUACUGGUAGGGAAAAUAAAUAUUAACGAAAAAUGAGUAAAAUGAUAAUAAUUGUCGUAAAAUAUACCUUGUAUAGUUAGCAUAGGAACCCAUAUAUACCUUAUGUU